UUAUUACACAAUUAUACAAGUAAUGUAAUAUUUAUUUUUAGCAGCUUUAUACUCGCCUUGUCCUGCUGUGAAACAUUUGACACAUACAGUAUGAGACUAAAGGGGCUCUUAAUCUAUAUAAGACACGGGCUAGCCCGGCUAACAAGGCUGAAUAAUUAACUUUGUGUUACAGAUGCUUCACUAUGAGACUUUCUAUAGCUAGGAUAAACACCGAGAGGGAGCGAUUUUAAUUUUAUGUCAGAUAAUGACCCGAGGACGCGCAAUCAUAUUUAAUUCAUGGUUGAGGAGGUUUUUCAACAAAGUUUUGUCUGUUUCGUCUUCUUUGAACGACAAUUUUCUGAGUUUUCCUUCAUCAUUUCAGCUAAUUAAUAUUCAAGAUGAUGAUUAAAAAUAAUCACCUCGGUAAAGAAAACCGACUCAAUCAUGAAUUACCUAAAAUAAAGUUGAUAUAGAAAUGGUUUAGAUGAUAUAAGCUUAAUAUCUUUAUGUUAAUCUGUAUCUUCGUUGCCGCAAAGGAAAUAUUUUUGUGACACGAAUGAGCCCGUGUAGUCGGGCUAGCCCGCCUAACCUGCCUCAUAUAGACAGCUCCUAAAUUGAGUUUAAAGCUUUGAAAAUGAUAUAGUGGCUGGCCAAUAUUCAAG